UACGUAGGGUGCGAGCGUUAAUCGGAAUUACUGGGCGUAAAGCGUGCGCAGGCGGUGAUGUAAGACAGGUGUGAAAUCCCCGGGCUUAACCUGGGAACUGCAUUUGUGACUGCAUCACUGGAGUGCGGCAGAGGGGGAUGGAAUUCCGCGUGUAGCAGUGAAAUGCGUAGAUAUGCGGAGGAAUACCGAUGGCGAAGGCAGCCCCCUGGGAUAACACUGACGCUCAUGCACGAAAGCGUGGGGAGCAAACAGG
rnacentral:rRNA from 1 species